rnacentral:rRNA from 1 species
UACGGAGGGGACUAGCGUUGUUCGGAAUUACUGGGCGUAAAGCGCACGUAGGCGGAUUUGUUAGUCAGGGGUGAAAUCCCGAGGCUCAACCUCGGAACUGCCUUUGAUACUGCAAAUCUCGAGUCCGGAAGAGGUGAGUGGAAUUCCUAGUGUAGAGGUGAAAUUCGUAGAUAUUAGGAAGAACACCAGUGGCGAAGGCGGCUCACUGGUCCGGUACUGACGCUGAGACGACGAAAGCGUGGGGAGCGAACAGG